rnacentral:rRNA from 1 species
GGGCGAAAAUAAGGGUGCAAUGUAGUCGCACCGUAACAGCCAAGAGCUUGUCUUAGUUACGAGUGGCGGACGGGUGAGUCAGGCUGGCAAUUGUCUCCUCGCUGUGGAUACUACUGUAAUCGUGGCAAAUACCGCAUACCGUCGCAAGACCAAGAUGGCGACCUUCGGGCCUCUUGCCCUCCGGUUUGCCAUGUUGGUUUUAGCUUGCAGGUGGGAUGCGGCUCACCCAGGUGACGAAUCGUGGAUGGCCUGAAGAGAGUAUCAGCCACUCUCGAACUGAGGCCGAGUCCAGGGUUAAACGGGAGGGAGCAGUGGUGAAUAUUGUCGAAUGGCAUCUACCGUAAGCACGCCAUCCGGGGCAAUGAAAAAAAUCUAACCGGUUUUUAAGGUACUUUUCGGCGGGGGGGGAGGGGAACAGGGUUAAUAAACCCUUGUCGAUUGAAGGUUACCCCCGGAAAAAAGCCCCGUUUAACCUUCCGUCCCAAGCGGCGGGGAAAAUUCCGAAAGGGGUGCAACCGUUAAAUCGGAAUUUACUGGGCUAAAAGGCCCACCCAGGGGGGUCUGUCAAGCCGAAUGUAAAACCCCCGGGGUCCAACCGGGGAAACUGCAUUCGAAACUGGAAGGCUAGGAGCUUUUGUGGGAGGGGGGGUAGAAUCCCGGGUGUAGCGUGUAAAUUGCGUGAGAGUCUCUGGGAGAGAAUACCCGGGGGCGAAAGGGGCCCCCCUUGGACAAAGACUGGACGUCUCAGGUGCAAAACGGUUGUGGAGCCAACGGGAUUAGAUACCCUGGUAGUCCACGCCGUAAAACGAUUGUCGACUUAGAAGGUUGUGCCAUGAAGCGUGCUCCGGAGCUUACCGCGUUAGUCGACCGCUGGGAGUACGGCGCAAGUCAAACUCAAUGACUGACGGGACAGCCAUGCGUGCACAUUGGAUAAUCGAUCACGUGAGAUCUACUA